GGUACUGCGCCGGAUGAACGGAAAUCAUUGAUGUUGAUUAAUACAAGGUAAUCUACCUUUAGUACUA
rnacentral:tRNA from 1 species